rnacentral:misc_RNA from 1 species
GAUGAAGAACGUAGCGAAAUGCGAUACGUAAUGUGAAUUGCAGAAUUCAGUGAAUCAUCGAAUCUUUGAACGCAUAUUGCGCUCUCUGGUAUUCCGGAGAGCAUGCUUGUUUGAGUAUCAGUAAACACCUCAACUUCCAUAUCUUUUUUGAAAUGGGAGUUGGACUUGAGUGAUCCCAACGCUUUUCCUCACCGAAAAGUGGCGGGUUACUUGAAAUGCACGUGCAGCUGGACUUUUCUCUGAGCUAUAAGCAUAUCUAUUUAGUCUGCCUAAAAAACAGAUUAUUACCUUUGCUGCAGCUAACAUAAAGGAGAUUAGUUCUUGUGCUGACUGAUGCAGGAUUCACAAAGACGGCUUCGGCCGACUUUGUAAACUCGAUCUCAAAUCAAGUAAGACUACCCGCUGAACUUAAGCAUAUCAAUAAGCGGAGGA